rnacentral:rRNA from 1 species
UUAAAUUUUUGAAGUUAUCUUGGCUUUUUUGUUGGGUGAAAUCAGUAUAAAGAGUUUCUCUUUCUUUUAAAAUUAAUAGGAAUUAAAAAACUUUGAUUUAAAACCAGGAUUAGAUACCCUGUUAUUCUAAGUUAUAUUUAGACAGGGUAGUAAAAGUUGUUCUUCAAACCCAAAGAUUUUGGCGGCACUUUAUCCAAAUAGAGGAGCUUGUCCCUUAAUCGAUAGUCCCCGUUUUAUCUUUCCUCUGUUUGUAGAGCUUGUAUACCGCCGUUGUCAGAUCACUUUUAGAGAAUGUUUUCAAGUUAAAAGACUUUUCUACUUCAGGUCAAGGUGCAGUUUAUACAGAGGUGGAGGUGAGCUACAAUUUUCUUUAGAAAUACGGAUUUCAAGCCUCGAAGCUGGUUGAAGGUGGAUUUAUUAGUAAAGUAA